CCUACGGGUUGCAGCAGUGGGGAAUAUUGCACAAUGGGCGCAAGCCUGAUGCGGCCAUGCCGCGUGUAUGAAGAAGGCCUUCGGGUUGUAAAGUACUUUCAGCGGGGAGGAAGGUGUUGUGGUUAAUAACCGCAGCAAUUGACGUUACCCGCAGAAGAAGCGCCGGCUAACUCCGUACCAGCAGCCGCGGUAAUACGGAGGGUGCAAGCGUUAAUCGGAAUUACUGGGCGUAAAGCGCACGCAGGCGGUCUGUCAAGUCGGAUGUGAAAUCCGGGCUCAACCUGGGAACUGCAUUCGAAACUGGCAGGCUAGAGUCUUGUAGAGGGGGGUAGAAUUCCAGGUGUAGCGGUGAAAUGCGUAGUGAUCUGGAGGAAUACCGGUGGCGAAGGCGGCCCCCUGGACAAAGACUGACGCUCAGGUGCGAAAGCGUGGGAGCAAACAGGAUUAGAUACCCCAGUAGUC
rnacentral:rRNA from 1 species